rnacentral:rRNA from 1 species
GAUCCUGGCUCAGGAUGAACGCUAGCGACAGGCUUAACACAUGCAAGUCGAGGGGCAGCAUAUUCUGGCAACAGAAUGAUGGCGACCGGCGCACGGGUGAGUAACGCGUAUGCAACCUUCCCCUUACAGGGGUAUAGCCCAUGGAAACGUGGAUUAAUCCCCCAUACGGCAUUCGGAUGGCAUCAUUCGGGUGCGAAAUCUUCAGAGGUAAGGGAUGGGCAUGCGUCCGUA